CUAUCAAACUUCAAGUCUAGAACUUAUAUUAUAUAAGUAAAAAUUUCUUAUUUCAAGCACAGAAAGCGAAAUCACAUACUUAAUGAAAUGUAUUCAGAUAAUUAAAACAGACUAUGUCCAAAUGGAAUCCUUUGUGUUAUUGUCAAUGAAAAAAAAAAAAAAAAACAUGAACUUAUAUUCUUGUAUAAGUUGGCAGAGUGUACUGGAGAUUAUAAUUGAAUAUUUAAACGGUUGACAUUUAACACAACAAUUUCAGAGACAAUAUCAGUUUAUAUAUCAAGAUAAUUCUUGGCAUGUUUCCAUCUGCUAUGGACCUUAAUCUGAUCUUCUUGAUGCAAGAUGUGGGACCUCUUACUGACAUGUCAUGAAAUUUCUAUUGAUGUGUGAUUUGAAAUGGCUGGUAUUCCACACAAUGAGAUUAGAAUCAACAAUAUUGAUUAGCUCAAUGUCAUGAUAAAUAUUUUAACUUUUGGUUUAUAUUUCAAAUUCUUACUUUAUCAGUUACUAAUAUUAGUUUGAACAAUAUUUUAUUCAUCAUGUUUGUAACCCCUUUUAUGACAUCAUACAAUCCAAAUGGGAAAGCGCCCAAAAUGUCAGUGAGAUAGUAUUAAUGUUCGAUACAACAGAUUUUCUUUCCGAUCCAAUACCGAGUAAAAUUUAAGCUGGUAUUGGCAAUACAGAUCCCAUACUUUGUGCAAAGACAGUUAGUUUGUUUCUUAAUUAAAUAAAAAAUAAAUGUAAUCCAUAUCUUGGCUUCAUAAAAAGAACACAAUGUACUCUGAUGCACUCAUUUUAAACUCAGAAGUAUAUUGAGACAACAAUCUUGUUUACUAUAAGCUAUUUUAACUCAGCAGAAAUAUACAAAACAUGUGAAAAUGGAGUUGCAAACUAAAAAAAAGAAAAUUAGUAAAGUAAUAACCCUACUAAAUAGACUGCUCAAAAAAAUAAAGGGAACACUUAAGUGUUCACUUAAGUGUUUAAGUGUUCCCUUUAUUUUUUUUUAGCAGUGUGCAUCAUUGUUUAAUUAUUAAAACUACUAUAAAAUGGCAGCUGAAAUAGCUCCAUGUCACUUAUUUUAUAAUCUGUCAACAUGUCCAUUUCUGAGUGAGUGAGCGUCAGCAGCACGCUGCGCUUGGGCAUUACGUCCUUACACAUUACAUUCUUACCAGGCGGAAGAAAAAGUAGUUCCCAUUAACAACGUUUCAUUUAGGCAAGAUCUCAAUAAUUUUGUUACUUUCUAACUUGCUCUUGUUAAUCUACAUUAUCUCAAAUUACUAAAGUGUUGAAAGUAUUGAUCCUUGGAUCUGACAAUAGAUUUUAAAGAAUUAAGUUCUGGUAUCGAAAGAAUCGAUAUUUCAGUAUCAAUCCGCACAUCACUAACGGCAACGCCAGAGAUCAUUUAACUGCCCUGAUUAACGGUUAAUUCAGUUGUAACAGCCUAACUAAGCUGUUAUCUACUGUACUUUUAUAAGAUUUUCUUUUGGCAAAUUUUCUAAUCUCGGUUGGACAUGGAUGAAGAUGGAGGACUUUUUACGUGUAUAGACCCUACAGCUGCUGUACUGAGAGUAAACCAAACUGUUGCCAUGGUGAAGCCUAUGCCAGACACGUCUCCAAUCAUGUAUUGCACCAUCUACAAGAAACUUUGGGAAAUGCAAGUGACAGCGUCCUUCACAUUCUCAAGCAGAUGACCCAACAACUUCAAACAAGACCACUUUUCAGCUCUGUGGUGAUCAUGAAACCAACUUUCUACUGGCCAUUGGAACCAUGCCUGCCCUGAUCUUCUGAAAGGAGGACAUCACAACUACUACACCUUUCAGCAUCCGUGUCUGUGGCCACUCCUCUCUGUGCUGCUGACAGAUGUCUUGAGAACAGCGUCUGUAACUGAGGCAAGACUUCCACAUAUAAAAGGCUAUGGCUUAUUGGAAGAAGUUCAUUGCGGAGGAAGCUCCUAUUGUUGACAUCUAAUCCCAAGAUUUUUUUUUUGCUUUGGACAAUUUGGUUUGCUUGACUCUUAGGGCAUCUUAUGAGUGCGGCAGAUGUGUCAGAUCUUCAUUGUUCUGUCAUUUUACAGGAUUGUUUCAGAAUCAGAUGCCCAUCCAGACUUUAUUCUGACCAGUAGACAUGUUUUAUUGUGCUUAUGUGAAACUUAAACGUAAUAAAUAUGUUAAAAGUAAUUGAACUCAUGUCUUCAUUUCAGCAAGCCAAUAACAUCUCUUGUUCCAGUAUUCACAGGAUCAAUUUUUGGAUUUUUGUCUUAGCAUAAGAACCUUGAGUAAAGCUAUGAUAAAAUAUAUAUUUUAAUCCAAUGCAACAAUAAAAAUAAACUAGAUUU